CAUAAUAUUCUGAACAUUAAUAAUGAAAAAUUAUUAAUAUUUUGUUUGACAAAUUUUAUUUUAUUGUAUUCAGAUAUAUUAUAUAUUAUUAAAAUAAGAUAUUUGAGUAAUGUCUUUAAAAUUAUUCAUCAACAAACCCUUCAAACAUCAAUUAUUAUUAUUAUUAUUAUCAUCUCUCUUUUUCUUAAAAAUCCUAAAUGUCAUCAACAAACCCAACAGAGUUCCUCAUCUCCAAGUUCAGUAACACAGUUCCGAAGAGAAGAGCACAAAGAAGAACUCCUUCAUCAGCACCAAAAUGAAAUUGUUGAUGCAAACAACCACUCCACGGCGGCGGCGCUUGCUGAUUUCCCUUCCCUCUCCGUCGCCGCCUCCACAAAUUAGUUGCAGAAAAAGAAACACAUUUAAUUUGAAUUUGUGGAAUUUGACUAAAGAUGGAGGAGAAGAGUAGUGGUAGUUUUUAAUAUAAAUAAACACAUUUAAUUUGAAUUUGUGGUGAAGAAGAUGUUGAAUUAGAUUUGGAUUUCGACUACUUCCAACUACGGAUCUGGGUUGUUGGAGUUUUAGAACUUAGAUUUGUCUAUUCCUUUUGUUGUUGAUAAUGUUGUUCUUGGAUUUUCUUCUUUGAAAUCUGAGUUUGUAGAGUCUGAUGAAGAUUGGGAAGAGUUGAUUUUGGUGGAGGAUAGUUUAGGGACGAAGGAUUUAUGGGGUUUUAGUGAAAUGGGUGUUUUGGUUAAUGGGUUUGUUGAUAGUUGUUGUAUGGGGUGUGGAGGAGAGGUGUUGGGGUGGGAGGGAGAGGUGGAGAAGAGGUGUUUGAGGAGAGAGAAAGAGGAAGGGAGAUUGGAGAAGAUGGAGGAGGAAGAUCGACGGUAAUGGAGCUUCACUG
rnacentral:lncRNA from 1 species